AAGUCGUAACAAGGUUUCCGUAGGUGAACCUGCGGAAGGAUCAUUAACGAGUUUUGAAGUGGGUUUGAUGCUGGCCUUCCCAGGCAUGUGCUCGCCCUACUCUUCAUCCACUCACACCUGUGCACCUAUAAAAUGUUGAAAGAUUCAUCCCCUAGACUUCGUCAGGGGUGCGGUUAGGGGAGACCUUGACCGUUGGGUUGAAUCUUUUGCGUUUUAACUUUCUAUAAACUCUUGUAUGUUGUAGAAUGUCUUAAGGCCUACGGGCUUGUAUAAAUUGAAAUACAACUUUCAACAACGGAUCUCUUGGCUCUC
rnacentral:misc_RNA from 1 species